UUUAAGAAGAGGAAAGUCUGGACAGUAUAGGAUAGCGUGCUUCCUAACGGGAAGGCCUUGCUAACGCAAGGACAGAUAGUGCAACAGAGAGUAGACCGCCUUCGGGUAAGGGUGAAAGGGUGGAGUAAGAGCCCACCGUACUUCAGGUGACUGAAGUAGCUUGGUAAACCUCACGCGCUGAAAUGUCAUGUAUAUCGUGUUCCUUUGGACUCGGCGAUCCGUCGGGAGCGUGCUGCACGAGGGGUAGGCAGAUUGAUCUUAAUCGUGAGAUUAGGACUAGAUAAAUGAUAAGGGCCCGAAAGGGCACAGAAUCCGGCUUAUAG
rnacentral:RNase_P_RNA from 1 species